rnacentral:tRNA from 1 species
GAGAAUAUAAUUCAUGUUGGUAAUGGAUGAUGAGCUGUAAACUCAUUCAGUUUUAUCUGUCAUAGGUUCAAUUCCUAUUGUUCUCA